rnacentral:rRNA from 1 species
GAUGAACGCUGGCGGCGUGCUUAACACAUGCAAGUCGAACGAUGAAGCCCAGCUUGCUGGGUGGAUUAGUGGCGAACGGGUGAGUAACACGUGAGUAACCUGCCCUUGACUCUGGGAUAAGCCCGGGAAACUGGGUCUAAUACCGGAUAGGAACGUCGCACGCAUGGUGGCUGUUGGAAAGAUUUAUCGGUCGUGGAUGGACUCGCGGCCUAUCAGCUUGUUGGUGAGGUAAUGGCGCAGCAAGGCGACGACGGGUAGCCGGCCUGAGAGGGUGGCCGCCACACUGGGACUGAGACACGGCCCAGACUCCUACGGGAGGCAGCAGUGGGGAAUAUUGCACAAUGGGCGAAAGCCUGAUGCAGCGACGCCGCGUGAGGGAUGACGGCCUUCGGGUUGUAAACCUCUUUCAGUAGGGAAGAAGCGAAAGUGACGGUACCUGCAGAAGAAGCACCGGCUAACUACGUGCCAGCCGCCGCGGUAA